GUGGCUCCCCCUGGUGGCUGAAUGUGUUGGUGCCGCAGCUCUGCUCCCCCUGCUGCUUCUCCUCGUCUGCCUCUGCAGGAGGAGGAAAGGUGGUGUCGCGGCAGAGACACAGCCCAUGUAUGUCAACAGACCCUCCG